UUCAAAGGUCCACGGCGCUUCAGUACCAUGUCACAAAAAUUAAGAAAUUUGCAUAAAGUGGAAGUAGAUGUCUUGAAAAAGGAAUUGGACAUCUUCCUCUCUACAAUACCGGAUGAACCAACAGCCCCGACAUGAGGUGCAGACGAGGGCUGCGGAAUCAAACUCAAUUGUACAUCAAAUGUACCAACAACUGGGUAAAAGACGCACACAGGAGUGACAAUGUGAAACACCCAGAGUGAGGAAGUCAGAAAGACCAUGGUGGUGCUCCAGCAUGACCACAGGCGCAUGCCUGAAACUAUUAAAAGAGUAUAUGUGUGUGUGUGUGUGAGAGAGAGAGAGAAAUGUUAGAAUUAAAACCCAAAUUUUAUAUAUUAUUAUAUGCAUAUAUAUAUAUAUAUAUAUAACUACAUACACACACACACAUAUAUAUAUAUAUAUAUAUAUAAGGCACGUGCUGUCAGUAAUUACUCAGGGUAGGCAGUUGGUAGCAUUUAUGUAGUAAAACACAAAAAAAAUAUGUGAAACCCAGAUGCACGACUGAGUUGAAGACAGAUUUCUUUCUGCCUUUAUGGCACGUACAGAAAACAGUGUUGUAGAAGUGUACAUAGCGCAUGUGCUACAGCAGUUCUAUGCAUAGCUUAAAUACAGGGAUUGAAAGGCAGGGGUAGAUUAUGCCUACCUAAUCUACAAAAACAAUUAAAUAUUUAGCAUUUUAUGCAUAGUAAUCAGAGUAACCUUCAUAAUUUUAUUGAAUUAGGUCCCUAUUUUGCUAUAAAAAGAAAAUGUUGCUAUCGAUCUAUUUUAUUCAAGAUAGGCACUGCCUAUCUUGCCUACCCAGGUGGCACGUUCCUGGUAUACAUCUAUAAAUGUGUGUGUGUGUGUAUGCAUUUAUACACACACAAAUGGAUAUCAUUAACUUUAUAAUUUAGGUAAAUUUAUAAAAUCUAUUUCUGUAGGAUAUCUUUAUGAAGCUCUAUUUUUUAAUAUGCAUUUUCCUAUGAAGAGGCCUUUCUAAAGUCAGUUCAAACACACUUGGGGUGGAUUUUAAACACUCAUAUCUAUUUUCUGAAUUUACUGAUAUUUUGGUUUCGGGAUUAUAAUUAUAAUUUAAAAUAUGGAAUUAAUUUUAGCUAAUGUUUUAUCCAUUCUUGUUGUAUCAAUGUUGAAACAAUUAAAGACUAUGAUUAACUUCAACCCUAUUAAUUCAUUAUUCAUUAUUCAAUCAGUCAAAGGUAUCCUCUAAAGCUUUUUGUGAUGGAUUCUCUUCAAUUUCUUGCUUUUAUCAUUCUGAAAUAUUUACUAAAUUACAAAAAUUAAUUAGGACAACAUUGUUUUUUUUCUUUUUAAUUUUGUUAAAUAAGAUCUUGUAAAGAAUUUAUCAAUUUUAUUCUGAUUUUUUUUUUAGUUUGUCAUUGUUUAUUUUUAAAAAUGGUGGGUAAAAUUUAUGCGUAACCAUGACAUUAUUUUUAUUUGCCCCGGUUUUUGUUUGGUUUUGUUUUUUUGUUUUUUUUACGUAAGAAUUAAAACCCAAAUUCAAUAUCAUUCUUCGUGAACCAUGACAUUUAUCGUCUGUGAGAAUUCUUUGAAAAAUCUUGCCUGAAUUGAUUUAAUGUUACAGAAAUUAAAAUUUUCGUUAAUUGAAAAAAAAACGAGAUUUUAUUUUUGAAUGAUUUAUUAUUUCAACAAUAGAAAAUAUUGGUUACACCUGAUCCUUAUUAAGCAAAACAAACUGGAUGUUUUUCUCUUUUAGUUUCGGGGUCAGCGUAAACCCUACUCGCUGGCAGAAUCGUGGACAUGUUGGAUGAAUGUGCUUCACAGCAGUUCUUCCGGCUCUUCACUUUUCUGAGUUCAAAUCAUACCAAGGUCAGCUUUUGUUUUAAUCCUUUUGGGGUCCACAAAACAAGUCCCAGUUGAGCACUGGUAUUAAUGGUAACAACUUGGGCCCUUAAAAGGCAGUGAGCUAGCAGAAACGUUAGUACGUCGGGCGAAAUGCUUAGCUGUAUUUCGUCUGCCGUUACGUUCUGAGUUCAAAUUCCGCCGAGGUCGACUUUGCCUUUCAUCCUUUCGGGGUCGAUUAAAUAAGUACCAGUUACGCACUGGGGUCGAUAUAAUCGACUUAAUCCGUUUGUCUGUCCUUGUUUGUCCCCUCUGUGUUUAGCCCCUUGUAGGUAGUAAAGAAAUAGGUGUUUCGUCUGCCGUUACGUUCUGAGUUCAAAUUCCGCUGAGGUUGACUUUGCCUUUCAUCCUUUCAGAGUCAAUUAAAUAAGUACCAGUUAUGCACUGGGGUCAAUAUAAUCGACUUGAUCUGUUUGUCUGUCCUUGUUUGUCCCCUCUGUGUUUAGCCCCUUGGUGGGUAGUAAAGAAAUAGGUAACAACUUGGGCCCUUCCUUAAACUUGCUGGCCUUGUACCAAAAUUAGAAUUAUUACAAACUUGAUUUUGAAGACCCUUUUUCGUUUCCUAGUCCUGCCCCGACCCCACAUUUCCCUGCUUUGUGUCAAGUUUAUGGUAAAUGCCCCAUGUGAAUAAACAUGAGGUUUUGACCUCCAGAGGUCAAUGCCAUUGUAAGUACGUCUCAGGAUUAUUUCAGCUUUACGGUUAGAGCUUUAGUUCAAUAUCAAAAUUAUGUCGUUUUUCUUAGCUUUUCGUACUUAACAUUUCUGUUUUUAUAAAAUCUUAAUAAAUACCAAAACAACAAACCACCGAUGAAGAACUAACAUGGAAUGAGAUUUUGUUGUUGUUUUUUUGUUUUAUAUUUUAAUAAAUUAUAUUUAUUUAUUCAACUUCUGUUUCCCGCUUGGAAUUUUAACAAUCAAAUGCAAUCCGAUGGUUUGUCAUCAAUCACAUCCUUUAUGCUAUUUUUUUUCAUUGUUGAAUGUUUUUAAAUGUUUUUAAAUGUUUCUUUUAUUUAUUUAUUUCUUUUUUGAAGUUGAAUAAAAGUUUGUUGACGAUUUACUUU
rnacentral:lncRNA from 1 species